UUACAAGCAGUGUAUAGGGCACAGAGAAUUUUGAUUUCUUUAGAGAGGCGUAAAUCUCCUAG
rnacentral:tRNA from 1 species